GGGGCUUGAUGUCACCGGGGUCUCAAGGCUUCCGAUGAACGGAUCGCCAUUCAGGGGCUGAAUUACUUGAUAAGUUGGCUGCAAUGCAAUAUGUGGACGAGGUUCAACAUGACACCAUCAAAUCAAAAUCCUUAAUCAAAGCCCAAAAUGGCAAAGUGUAAUUAGACAAUUAGCUUUUAAUUCAAUAUCAUUGGUACCAUAAAAAAUAAAGAAGGUGACAUGCUACUACUAUUGGCAAUCUUAACGAGCAAAAAUUAUGGUUCAGUUUUCAUCGAUUUUCCUAUAUUCAAUUGGGUCUUCAUCUUAUAUCAGGAUAAUGUAGAAUACUACAUAGAUAAAGUAAAUAUGGGGAAAAAAAAAAAGGAGCAAAAGAUGAACUUUCUGCUGAUGGGCUCCGAACAAUACUCUCUGAACUUUUUAACCCAUUGAUUUGUUUGCAGGCUAAGAUUAAGAAACCAAGCACAAAAUGAAGAUUCUUUACCUUCUCCGAUUGGAUAGCUUUGAUGGUGAAGCAAGACUUCCUCCUUGAGGGUAAGACUCUGAAUGGAGCUGCAGAGAUGCCCUUUGGGGUAGCCAACCUAGUUGUCAGGGAUGAAGCAAGGCUGCUCUGGAGCUGGCUGGCCAUGG
rnacentral:lncRNA from 1 species